CUAUUCACUUUUUGUCUCUUUCUUCUCCCUCCCAUUUACCAAAAGAAGUCAGUUCCACCGGACCACUGGUUCCGCCGGGCUGGGUGGCCGCCUAGCCAGUCCAGCGGCACACUCACUAAUGCUGACAGCAGUGAGCUGUCAGCAUAGGAGGACUGAAGGAGGGAGCCACAUCAUACUGUGCUGGGAAUUGUGGGAACCGCACCGCCGCAUUCAUUAUGGACUGUAACGGCGCAAGUUGGGAGCACGUAAGACCACUGAGAAGCGUAUAACAGUAGUCAAGGCGAGAAAGGACAGUGGAAUGGACCAGCACCUUAGUCGCAUCUGACGUUAAGUAGGGUCGGAUGCGCGCAAUGUUUUUGAGAUGGAAGCGGCAGGA